rnacentral:sRNA from 1 species
AUUUUGCAUUAGGGGUAGGAGUGUAAAUCCUUUUUAUUUUUUUUAAUAAAAAGAUUGUAACGAAUAGCGCGCGCCGCU